AGAUAUUCAGGACACAUCUUCAGGACAGAACUUCAGGACAGAACUUCAGGUCAGAACUUCUGGUCAGAUCUCUAGGACAGAACUUCAGGUCAGAACUUCAGGUCAGAUCUUCAGGACAGAACUUCAGGACAGAUCUUCAGGUCAGGACUUCAGGUCAGAUCUUCAGGUCAGGACUUCAGGUCAGAUCUUCAGGACAACUUCAGGUCAGAACUUCAGGUCAGAACGUCAGGACAGAUCUUCAGGACAGAUCUUCAGGACAGAACUUCAGGUCAGAACGUCAGGACAGAUCUUCAGGACAGAUCUUCAGGUCAGAUCUUCAGGACAGAACUUCAGGUCAGAACUUCAGGUCAGAUCUUCAGGUCAGAACUUCAGGACAGAACUUCAGGUCAGAUCUUCAGGACAGAACUUGAGGACAUCCUCAGGUCAGAGGGUCAUCAGGUCAGAACUUAAGGUUAUAAGAUUAUCAUGUAGGAGUCAGAUCUUCAGGUAAGAACUUGAGGACAGAUCUUCAGAUCAAAAGAUUAUCAGGUCAGAACUUCAGGACAGAUCUUCAGGUCAGAGGAUCAUCAGGUCAGAACUUAAGGUUAUAAGAUUAUCAUGUAGGAGUCAGAUCUUCAGGUCAGAACUUCAGGUCAGAUCUUCAGGUCAGAACUUGAGGACAGUUCUUCAGAUCAGAAGAUUAUCAGGUCAGAACUUCAGGACAGAUCUUCAGGUCAGAACAUAAGGACAGAACUUCAGGUCAGAACUUCAGGUCAGAUCUUCCGGACAGAUCUUCAGGAGGAAACCGGAGUUCCCAGAGUAAACCCAUGCAGGCACAGGGAGAACAUGCAAACUCCACACAGAAAGGACCCGGACCGCCGCACCUGGAGAUCGAACCCAGGACCUUCUUGCUGUGAGGCCACCGUGCCGCCCGCCCGAGUUCUUCCCAGCCAUUUUGCACUCCAUCUUUCGAAGCCUCACUUUCUCUGAGAGUAAACGCCGAAAAGCAACAACAGCAACAUGGACGGAAAAGCACCUGGAAGAUCAAUGUCUGCUGAUGCCCCCACCUACCUGGCCUGGUCCAUCUUUAGUACGCUCUGCUGCUGUAUGCCGAUUGGAAUUGUUGCUAUUGUAUUUUCCUGCAGGGCUGACACAGCUAACACUAUUGGAGAUGCAACAAGAGCUAGCGCACAUUCCCGGAUGGCAAAGAAACUGAAUAUUGCAUCGUUGGUCAUUGGCAUCAUCGCUUUAGUUAUUGUUAUCGCCAUCUAUGCCACCAUGCUCUCUCGGUUGAACCACUGAGCAACCCGAUAUCUCUGACGCAGCUCCUUUCCUUGGAUUUACAGGCGGCUGAAGUCGGCAAUGUAAAUGCUUUUAAAGUUUUAAAAUUCAAGCCAAAAAAGUGGUCAAAAAUGUCUUUCUUUUACUUUAAUGUUUUUUUCACUUUUAAGUGCAUUUCUAUUUUGUGGUUAACCCUUUCUAUUUUUAUAUAAAUACAUUUUGUAUUCAUUUCACAUAAGAAACCUUCUUUAUAUCAAAGUAUGGACUUUAUUUUUUCACCAAAUUAAAUAAAAUGUAAAAAUGUUACCCAA